GGGCACUUGGCACAGUGGUAGCGCGCUUGCUUCGCAUUGAAGUGAUUGCAUGAGGUCGAGAGUUCAAUCCUCUCAGUGUCCA
rfam:Exidia glandulosa HHB12029 unplaced genomic scaffold EXIGLscaffold_2, whole genome shotgun sequence.